rnacentral:siRNA from 1 species
UAUACGAAACAGAUUCAGCACGG